UCCUGAUGGUUAGCGGCGGACGGGUGAGUAACACGUAGGUAACCUGCCCAUAAGACUGGGAUAACCCACGGAAACGUGAGCUAAUACCAGAUAGGCAUUUUCCUCGCAUGAGGGAGAUGAGAAAGGCGGAGCAAUCUGUCACUUAUGGAUGGACCUGCGGCGCAUUAGCUAGUUGGUAAGGUAACGGCUUACCAAGGCGACGAUGCGUAGCCGACCUGAGAGGGUGAUCGGCCACACUGGGACUGAGACACGGCCCAGACUCCUACGGGAGGCAGCAGUAGGGAAUCUUCCGCAAUGGACGAAAGUCUGACGGAGCAACGCCGCGUGAGUGAUGAAGGUUUUCGGAUCGUAAAGCUCUGUUGCCAGGGAAGAACGCCUAGGAGAGUAACUGCUCUUAGGGUGACGGUACCUGAGAAGAAAGCCCCGGCUAACUACGUGCCAGCAGCCGCGGUAAUACGUAGGGGGCGAGCGUUGUCCGGAAUUAUUGGGCGUAAAGCGCGCGCAGGCGGCAAUGUAAGUUGGGUGUUUAAACCUAGGGCUCAACCUUGGGUCGCAUCCAAAACUGCAUAGCUUGAGUACAGAAGAGGAAAGUGGAAUUCCACGUGUAGCGGUGAAAUGCGUAGAGAUGUGGAGGAACACCAGUGGCGAAGGCGACUUUCUGGGCUGUAACUGACGCUGAGGCGCGAAAGCGUGGGGA
rnacentral:rRNA from 1 species